rnacentral:rRNA from 1 species
AGAGUUUGAUCAUGGCUCAGAUUGAACGCUGGCGGCAGGCCUAACACAUGCAAGUCGAACGGUAACAGGAAACAGCUUGCUGUUUCGCUGACGAGUGGCGGACGGGUGAGUAAUGUCUGGGAAACUGCCUGAUGGAGGGGGAUAACUACUGGAAACGGUAGCUAAUACCGCAUAAUGUCGCAAGACCAAAGAGGGGGACCUUCGGGCCUCUUGCCAUCGGAUGUGCCCAGAUGGGAUUAGCUAGUAGGUGGGGUAACGGCUCACCUAGGCGACGAUCCCUAGCUGGUCUGAGAGGAUGACCAGCCACACUGGAACUGAGACACGGUCCAGACUCCUACGGGAGGCAGCAGUGGGGAAUAUUGCACAAUGGGCGCAAGCCUGAUGCAGCCAUGCCGCGUGUAUGAAGAAGGCCUUCGGGUUGUAAAGUACUUUCAGCGGGGAGGAAGGGAGUAAAGUUAAUACCUUUGCUCAUUGACGUUACCCGCAGAAGAAGCACCGGCUAACUCCGUGCCAGCAGCCGCGGUAAUACGGAGGGUGCAAGCGUUAAUCGGAAUUACUGGGCGUAAAGCGCACGCAGGCGGUUUGUUAAGUCAGAUGUGAAAUCCCCGGGCUCAACCUGGGAACUGCAUCUGAUACUGGCAAGCUUGAGUCUCGUAGAGGGGGGUAGAAUUCCAGGUGUAGCGGUGAAAUGCGUAGAGAUCUGGAGGAAUACCGGUGGCGAAGGCGGCCCCCUGGACGAAGACUGACGCUCAGGUGCGAAAGCGUGGGGAGCAAACAGGAUUAGAUACCCUGGUAGUCCACGCCGUAAACGAUGUCGACUUGGAGGUUGUGCCCUUGAGGCGUGGCUUCCGGAGCUAACGCGUUAAGUCGACCGCCUGGGGAGUACGGCCGCAAGGUUAAAACUCAAAUGAAUUGACGGGGGCCCGCACAAGCGGUGGAGCAUGUGGUUUAAUUCGAUGCAACGCGAAGAACCUUACCUGGUCUUGACAUCCACAGAACUUUCCAGAGAUGGAUUGGUGCCUUCGGGAACUGUGAGACAGGUGCUGCAUGGCUGUCGUCAGCUCGUGUUGUGAAAUGUUGGGUUAAGUCCCGCCAACGAGCGCAACCCUUAUCCUUUGUUGCCAGCGGUCCGGCCGGGAACUCAAAGGAGACUGCCAGUGAUAAACUGGAGGAAGGUGGGGAUGACGUCAAGUCAUCAUGGCCCUUACGACCAGGGGCUACACACGUGCUACAAUGGCGCAUACAAAGAGAAGCGACCUCGCGAGAGCAAGCGGACCUCAUAAAGUGCGUCGUAGUCCGGAUUGGAGUCUGCAACUCGACUCCAUGAAGUCGGAAUCGCUAGUAAUCGUGGAUCAGAAUGCCACGGUGAAUACGUUCCCGGGCCUUGUACACACCGCCCGUCACACCAUGGGAGUGGGUUGCAAAAGAAGUAGGUAGCUUAACCUUCGGGAGGGCGCUUACCACUUUGUGAUUCAUGACUGGGGUGAAGUCGUAACAAGGUAACCGUAGGGGAACCUGCGGUUGGAUCACCU